rnacentral:rRNA from 1 species
UUACGGUCAAAUCACGCUGAAACACCGGUUCUCGUUCAAUCACCGAGGUUAAGCAUCGUAGAGCCAGGUCAGUACUUAGAUGGGGGACCGCUUGGGAACACCUGGUACUGUAAG